GUGGGGAAUAUUGGACAAUGGGCGAAAGCCUGAUCCAGCCAUGCCGCGUGUGUGAAGAAGGUCUUCGGAUUGUAAAGCACUUUAAGUUGGGAGGAAGGGCAGUAAGUUAAUACCUUGCUGUUUUGACGUUACCGACAGAAUAAGCACCGGCUAACUUCGUGCCAGCAGCCGCGGUAAUACGAAGGGUGCAAGCGUUAAUCGGAAUUACUGGGCGUAAAGCGCGCGUAGGUGGUUCAGUAAGUUGGAAGUGAAAUCCCCGGGCUCAACCUGGGAACUGCUUUCAAAACUGCUGAGCUAGAGUACGGUAGAGGGUGGUGGAAUUUCCUGUGUAGCGGUGAAAUGCGUAGAUAUAGGAAGGAACACCAGUGGCGAAGGCGACCACCUGGACUGAUACUGACACUGAGGUGCGAAAGCGUGGGGAGCAAACAGGAUUAGAAACCCGUGUAGUCC
rnacentral:rRNA from 1 species